UACGGAGGGAGCUAGCGUUGUUCGGAAUUACUGGGCGUAAAGCGCACGUAGGCGGCUUUGUAAGUUAGAGGUGAAAGCCCGGGGCUCAACCCCGGAAUUGCCUUUAAGACUGCAUCGCUUGAAUCCGGGAGAGGUGAGUGGAAUUCCGAGUGUAGAGGUGAAAUUCGUAGAUAUUCGGAAGAACACCAGUGGCGAAGGCGGCUCACUGGCCCGGUACUGACGCUGAUAUACGAAAGCGUGGGGAGCAAACAGG
rnacentral:rRNA from 1 species